rnacentral:rRNA from 1 species
AUGGCUCAGGAUGAACGCUAGCGGCAGGCGUAACACAUGCAAGUCGAGGGGCAACGCGAGUAGCAAUACUUGGCGGCGACCGGCGCAAGGGUGCGUAACGCGUGAGCAACAUGCCCGUAUCAGGGGGAUAAUCCAGGGAAACUUGGUCUAAUACCCCAUAGUAAUUUUGUAAGGCAUCUUAUAAGAUUUAAAGCUUUGGUGGAUACGGAUUGGCUCGCGUGACAUUAGCUGGAUGGUAAGGUAACGGCUUACCAUGGCUAUGAUGUCUAGGGGUUCUGAGAGGAAGGUCCCCCACACUGGAACUGAGACACGGUCCAGACUCCUACGGGAGGCAGCAGUGAGGAAUAUUGGACAAUGGAUGGAAAUCUGAUCCAGCCAUGCCGCGUGAAGGAAAGAAGGUCCUAUGGAUUGUAAACUUCUUUUGUAUGGGAGCAAUAAGGCCUACGAGUAGGUUGAUGAGAGUACCAUACGAAUAAGCACCGGCUAACUCCGUGCCAGCCGCAGC